rnacentral:rRNA from 1 species
GACGAACGCUGGCGGCGUGCUUAACACAUGCAAGUCGAACGGAAAGGCCCUGCUUUUGUGGGGUGCUCGAGUGGCGAACGGGUGAGUAACACGCGAGUAACCUGCCCUUGUCUUUGGGAUAACUUCAGGAAACUGGGGCUCAUAUCGGAUAGGAGAUCCUGAUGCAUGGUGGGGGUUGGUAAGUUUCGGCGGUUGGGGAUGGACUCGCGGCUUAUCAGCUUGUUGGUGGGGUAGUGGCUUACCAAGGCUUUGACGGGUAGCCGGCCUGAGAGGGUGACCGGCCACAUUGGGACUGAGAUACGGCCCAGACUCCUACGGGAGGCAGCAGUGGGGAAUAUUGCACAAUGGGCGGAAGCCUGAGGCAGCAACGCCGCGUGCGGAAUGACGGCCUUCGGGUUGUAAACCGCUUUCGCCUGUGACGAAGCGUGAGUGACGGUAAUGGGUAAAGAAGCACCGGCUAACUACGUG